rnacentral:tRNA from 1 species
GAGGCUAUAGCUCAGUGGUAGAGGGCAUGCUUGGCAUGCAUGAGGUACUGGAUUCAAUCCACAGUGCCUCCA